rnacentral:rRNA from 1 species
CUCUUCUUGUUUUUAUUUGAAGUAUGGCCUGCCCACUGAUGUUAUUGAAGGGCCGCGGUAUUUUGACCGUGCAAAGGUAGCAUAAUCAUUAGUUCUUUAAUUGUGAACUGGUAUGAAUGGUUUGACGAGGCAUAAUCUGUCUUUGAUUUGAAUUGUUGUUGAAUUUAUUGUUUGGGUAAAAAUGCUCAAAUUUUAUUAUGGGACGAGAAGACCCUAUAGAGUUUAAUGUUGAUGCACUUAUUUUUGUUUGUCUAUUGUGUUGGGUGCAAUCAGUAUUUUGUUGGGGUGAUGGGAAGAUAUAAUUAACUCUUCUUUUAUUGUUUCACUUAUUUGUGUUUUUAUGAUCCUUUAUUAUUGAUUGUAAGAUCAAAUUACC